rnacentral:lncRNA from 1 species
AUCGGUUUGUCCAUUGGAUACCCUAACCUUUAUUUCUCGGCCGUCCGAUUGAAUCGGAGGGUCCAGAUCAGCCCUAUCCAAACCCACCUACCUAUUUAAGCAGUCAAACCCUAAAAUCUAGGAUCCUUGUCCCAUCCAUUCCCUCCCCAAUUCCCGCAGCGCCGCCGCCACCAUCUUCCUCGGGAUCUCCUCCCGACCAACCCCCCUUCCUCCUCGUUGCGCGUUCGCACCCAACAGAGCGCUCGCGUGCAGCCGCCGCUUCCCCGCAGGCGUCCCCGCGCAGUAGCAGCAGCCAGCCUCCAGGUCGGCCAUGUCCCUCUCCGUCCCCCUCCCUGUGUUCCUCUGCGCCCUUCCCUCCUACUCGCUGUGUCUCAUUCCUCUCCCCCUGUUGCGCUGCAGCAACAUCUUCGAGGAGCACCGCCAGCAGCGUAUGGACGCAGCAGCGGCCCCAUCUGCGCGCACCUCGCCGCUAGUGUCGGUUGGGCACCGGCACCCCUUCCGCCAGCUGCGCCUAUCGGUGACCCCGACCUCGUCCAAGCAGCGUGCGGCGCUAGCAGGGGAUCGACCCG